rnacentral:rRNA from 1 species
CAGCCGCCGCGGUAAUACAGAGGGUGCAAGCGUUAAUCGGAAUUACUGUGCGUAAAGCGCGCGUAGGUGGUUUGUUAAGUUGGAUGUGAAAUCCCCGGGCUCAACCUGGGAACUGCAUCCAAAACUGGCAAGCUAGAGUAUGGUAGAGGGUGGUGGAAUUUCCUGUGUAGCGGUGAAAUGCGUAGAUAUAGGAAGGAACACCAGUGGCGAAGGCGACCACCUGGACUGAUACUGACACUGAGGUGCGAAAGCGUGGGGAGCAAACAGGAUUAGAUACCCCCGUAGUCCCUGUCUCUUAUAC